GGGUAGGUGGCCGAGUGGUUAAAGGCGGCAGACUGUAAAUCUGCUCACUUCGGUGUACGGAGGUUCGAAUCCUUCCCUGCCCA
rnacentral:tRNA from 1 species